rnacentral:rRNA from 1 species
GUGAGGUAAUGGCUCACCAAGGCUUGGACGGGUAGCUGGUCUGAGAGGACGAUCAGCCACACUGGGACUGAGACACGGCCCAGACUCCUACGGGAGGCAGCAGUGGGGAAUAUUGCACAAUGGGCGCAAGCCUGAUGCAGCGACGCCGCGUGGGGGAUGAAGGCUCUCGGGUCGUAAACCCCUUUCAGCAGGGACGAAACUGACGGUACCUGCAGAAGAAGCCCCGGCCAACUACGUGCCAGCAGCCGCGGUAACACGUAGGGGGCAAGCGUUGUCCGGAUUUAUUGGGCGUAAAGAGCUCGUAGGUGGUUCGGUAAGUCAGGUGUGAAACCUCCAGGCUCAACCUGGAGACGCCACUUGAUACUGCUGUGACUGGAGUCCGGUAGGGGAGCGUGGAAUUCCUGGUGUAGCGGUGAAAUGCGCAGAUAUUAGGAGGAACACCGGUGGCGAAGGCGCCGCUCUGGGCCGAAACUGACGCUGAGGAGCGAAAGCAUGGGUAGCAAACAGGAUUAGAUACCCUGGUAGUCCAUGCCGUAAACGUUGGGCACUAGGUGUGGGUUCCAACCAACGGAAUCCGCGCCGUCGCUAACGCAUUAAGUG